rnacentral:tRNA from 1 species
GGAGGCCGGAACGGCAGGUGGGCGUACGGGUCUUGAAAACCGCCGUGGGGGCAACUCCACCGUGGGUUCGAAUCCCACCCCUUCCGCCA